rnacentral:rRNA from 1 species
UACGGAGGAUGCAAGCGUUAUCCGGAAUGAUUGGGCGUAAAGCGUCCGCAGGUGGCUGUGUAAGUCUGCUGUUAAAGAGUGAGGCUCAACCUCAUAAAGGCAGUGGAAACUACAUGGCUAGAGUGCGUUCGGGAGAGGGAAGCGGAAUUCCGGGUGUAGCGGUGAAAUGCGCAGAUAUCCGGAGGAACACCGGUGGCGAAGGCGGCUUCCUGGACCGACACUGACGCUGAGGCGCGAAAGCUAGGGGAGCAAACGGG